rnacentral:rRNA from 1 species
CACGUAGUUAGCCGUGGCUUAUUCGUGAGGUACCGUCAGAACUUCUUCCCUCACAAAAGAGGUUUACGACCCGAAGGCCUUCAUCCCUCACGCGGCGUCGCUGCGUCAGGCUUUCGCCCAUUGCGCAAUAUUCCUUA